ensembl:lncRNA
GUUUGGGAGCCUCGCAGGAUGCUUUUCUGAGGCAUGGAGCGGCAGUGACAGGAACCUCUGGACCACGAGAGGAUCUUCUGCGAUCACGAUGACCAUCACAUGGAGCUCUUCCUCAAAGUCGGCUGUGACAGGGCAUUUUUGGGACUGUACCUAAGCAAGUAACACUGCCUGAGACCAGGUGUGGCCAACAUCAGAGGCCUGCAGAGUUUUGCAGAGAAACUCACCUGCCUUUAGCUUUCUAUAACCUUUAGACCUCGAUUAGCUUGUGCUUGAUUAGGGUUGGAGCUGAACUCUGCAGGACUGUGGCUCUCCAGAACCAACUUUAGCCACCCCUGCGCUAGACACUAUCAAGGCUUGCCAGCCCUGCAAGAUGCUAUUGCAUUGUGGGAAGUCCUGAACUGUGGUGGAGUUGCAGAUGAGGUGGGAGCAUUUGAGAGAAAGAGAGGAAAAGCUGAAAAAGGAAGAGGAGAAACUCAGGCAGUACAAACUGGAAACUGUAAGGCAACAUUCUGAAAAAACUUCAUGGAUAUGAUUAUGAAUGUAUAGCCUAAUCUGUAAAUUGAUUUUAAUAUAAUCUGUAAUCCCCUUUUUUUGUCUUUCUCUCUUUUAAGGAAAAUGAGGCCAGAUGGUUACGUGCCAUAGAAAAAACAAAGGAAGAGGAAGCUAAAAUUAAAGAGAAGGAAGAGAAUAU